GAGAGUUUGAUCCUGGCUCAGGAUGAACGCUAGCUACAGGCUUAACACAUGCAAGUCGAGGGGCAGCAUUUUAGUUUGCUUGCAAACUAAAGAUGGCGACCGGCGCACGGGUGAGUAACACGUAUCCAACCUGCCGAUAACUCGGGGAUAGCCUUUCGAAAGAAAGAUUAAUAUCCGAUGGUAUAUUAAAACCGCAUGGUUUUACUAUUAAAGAAUUUCGGUUAUCGAUGGGGAUGCGUUCCAUUAGUUUGUUGGCGGGGUAACGGCCCACCAAGACUACGAUGGAUAGGGGUUCUGAGAGGAAGGUCCCCCACAUUGGAACUGAGACACGGUCCAAACCCCUACGGGAGGCAGCAGUGAGGAAUAUUGGUCAAUGGACGAGAGUCUGAACCAGCCAAGUAGCGUGAAGGAUGACUGCCCUAUGGGUUGUAAACUUCUUUUAUAUGGGAAUAAAGUUUUCCACGUGUGGAAUUUUGUAUGUACCAUAUGAAUAAGGAUCGGCUAACUCCGUGCCAGCAGCCGCGGUAAUACGGAGGAUCCGAGCGUUAUCCGGAUUUAUUGGGUUUAAAGGGAGCGUAGGUGGAUUGUUAAGUCAGUUGUGAAAGUUUGCGGCUCAACUGUAAAAUUGCAGUUGAAACUGGCAGUCUUGAGUACAGUAGAGGUGGGCGGAAUUCGUGGUGUAGCGGUGAAAUGCUUAGAUAUCACGAAGAACUCCGAUUGCGAAGGCAGCUCACUAGACUGCAACUGACACUGAUGCUCGAAAGUGUGGGUAUCAAACAGGAUUAGAUACCCUGGUAGUCCACACAGUAAACGAUGAAUACUCGCUGUUUGCGAUAUACAGUAAGCGGCCAAGCGAAAGCAUUAAGUAUUCCACCUGGGGAGUACGCCGGCAACGGUGAAACUCAAAGGAAUUGACGGGGGCCCGCACAAGCGGAGGAACAUGUGGUUUAAUUCGAUGAUACGCGAGGAACCUUACCCGGGCUUAAAUUGCAUUUGAAUAAUCUGGAAACAGGUUAGCCGCAAGGCAAAUGUGAAGGUGCUGCAUGGUUGUCGUCAGCUCGUGCCGUGAGGUGUCGGCUUAAGUGCCAUAACGAGCGCAACCCUUAUCUUUAGUUACUAACAGGUUAUGCUGAGGACUCUAGAGAGACUGCCGUCGUAAGAUGUGAGGAAGGUGGGGAUGACGUCAAAUCAGCACGGCCCUUACGUCCGGGGCUACACACGUGUUACAAUGGGGGGUACAGAAGGCAGCUACCUGGUGACAGGAUGCUAAUCCCAAAAACCUCUCUCAGUUCGGAUCGAAGUCUGCAACCCGACUUCGUGAAGCUGGAUUCGCUAGUAAUCGCGCAUCAGCCAUGGCGCGGUGAAUACGUUCCCGGGCCUUGUACACACCGCCCGUCAAGCCAUGAAAGCCGGGGGUACCUGAAGUACGUAACCGCAAGGAGCGUCCUAGGGUAAAACUGGUAAUUGGGGCUAAGUCGUAACAAGGUAGCCG
rnacentral:rRNA from 1 species